GUCGAAUUUCUGAUGCAAUAUUCGUUACUAAAACGUGAUUGCACUGUAUAAAUGCUGACAGAAAAAGGAUUAAGAUUGUAGAAUUAAGAUGUUCAAUUAUAUUUAAAAACUAAGUAAAUUGAUAGGUUUCUCUAAGACACCAGAUUAUUUAGUGCGAUAUUCAAAAUGACUGAAGAAGACUCGGUGUUUGAUCCUACUUUAAAAAAGAAAAAGAAAAAGAAGAAAACUACCUUCGAUCUUGAUGCUGCAUUUAAUGAAGGGGGUAGCACUGGUGAUGCAACAGAAACCAGUGGUGAUAAGGAGAACCAGGAGCCAGACCCUCCUGUGCCAGCUGAAGAUGAUGAAACAUUGGAUUUAGAAAAUUUUGGAAGAAAGAAAAAAAAGAAAAAAAAGGCCUUUAAUUUGGAUGAACUUGAUGCAACUUUGCCAGAUACAAAAAAAGAGGAUGUUGUUGAACAACAAACAGAGGAGGUUGCUGUGGAUGAUACAUUUGACUUAGAUAUGGACUUCUCAAAAACCAAGAAGAAGAAAAAGAAAAAGAAAGAUCUUGAUGAAUUAGUGGCAGAGGAAGAACGUAAGGAAACAGAAGAUAAAGAAAAUGGCUGCACUGAAUCUGAGCGAAGUGCAGAGUAUGAAGAUACAAGUUUAUGGGUUGGAUCGGAUAGAGAUUAUACAUAUGAUGAAUUAUUGGUAAGAGUAUUUAACAUUAUGAGGGAAAAGAAUCCUGAUAUGGUUGCUGGCAAAAAGCAGAAGUUCGUUAUGCGUCCUCCUCAAGUAGUGCGUAUAGGUACCAAGAAAACAUCAUUUGCUAAUUUCACUGAAAUAUGCAAAACGCUCCAUAGGCAGCCCAAACAUUUAUUGGACUUUUUACUUGCUGAGUUAGGUACUAGUGGUUCUGUUGAUGGAAAUAGUCAACUUAUUAUUAAGGGCCGUUUCCAACAAAAACAAAUAGAAAAUGUUCUUAGGAGAUACAUUAAAGAAUAUGUUACUUGUCACACUUGUCGUUCUCCAGAUACUAUUCUUCAAAAAGAUACUCGACUAUUUUUCUUACAGUGUGAAACCUGUGGCUCGAGAUGUUCGGUGGCUAGCAUAAAAUCCGGUUUCCAGGCUGUUACUGGAAAACGUGCUGCUAUACGAGCAAAAACUGCCUAAAAAAUUUUUCACUUGUCAUAUCCACGAAUUUUGUAGCAUAAUUUUCAAAUUAUCAGAGAUGUUUUGUGUCAAAAUGCAGUUUUUACUAUACCUAUUGUAACGGCGUGCAAUCCUAACAUUUAUUUUUUACUCACAGAAUCUAACGUCGUGAAUAUCAGUAAACAAUUGUAAAAUUUUCAACGAGUAAUAAUUUUCUAUUAUCAAUUCAGGGCCUCAAGAUCUUCUCGAGUUAAUUGCGAUUUGAUGUCAUAAUAUUGUUGCAAGAACUCCCAAAAUUGGUAGCUACUUCCAACGUAAUUUAUAUUGCUGUGAGUAAUUCCAAUUUCUUGCCAUAUUAAAGGUGAUUUAGUAUGAGACCAGCCAUAAAGUGUACACAUUUUUUUUAACCAGGACUAGAAAAUAGAUUAUAUAAAAAAUAUUAUUUGUAUAUAAAA